CACCGCGGUUAUACGAGAGACUCAAAAUGAUAAGUGUCGGCGUAAAGGGUGGUUAAAAAACUACUGACUAAAGUUAAACAUUUUCUUAGCUGUUAUACGCACUCGAAAAAAUGAAAAUCAAUCACGAAAGUAACUUUAAUUAUUUGACCCCACGAAAGCUAUUAAA
rnacentral:rRNA from 1 species